CCUACGGGCGGCUGCAGUGGGGAAUAUUGGACAAUGGGCGAAAGCCUGAUCCAGCGACGCCGCGUGUGUGAAGAAGGCCUGCGGGUUGUAAAGCACUUUCGAUGGGAAUGAAAUGUGCCGGGUUAACACCCCGGCAAGCUGACGUUACUCAAUGAAGAAGCACCGGCUAACUCUGUGCCAGCAGCCGCGGUAAUACAGAGGGUGCGAGCGUUAAUCGGAAUUACUGGGCGUAAAGCGCACGUAGGUGGCGACGUAAGUCGGGUGUGAAAGCCCCGGGCUCAACCUGGGAAUUGCAUUCGAGACUGCGUUGCUGGAGUACGGAAGAGGAAGGCGGAAUUCCCGGUGUAGCGGUGAAAUGCGUAGAUAUCGGGAGGAACAUCAGUGGCGAAGGCGGCCUUCUGGUCCAGUACUGACACUCAAGUGCGAAAGCGUGGGGAGCAAACAGGAUUAGAUACCCUUGUAGUCCA
rnacentral:rRNA from 1 species